AGUACUAAGAUCCUGCAGCUCUGGCAGGCCGGUGCUUGAAGUUUGACUGCACUUUCUAGUGGCCCACGUAGCACCCUGUCUCGGGAUGGAGCGGUUGGGAUGUGCGAAGCCUUACCUCGGUGAGGUCAUUGCUAUUCCGGUUGUUUCUACUCUGGGACUUGAUAACACCGUUGGCUAUUUUGCUCAUAAGUCGGCAGUCAUCUUGGACGAUCGUGAGGUCGAAAGGGCUUGUCUGUCGGAAGUUGAGAAAGCGGUAGUGCUGCGAUUACAACAGUUACCUAUCAGACCCGUCUUGAAACACGGACCAAGGAGUCUAGCAUGUGCGCGAGUCUUCGGGUGGAAAACCCAGAGGCGCAAUGAAAGUAAAUUACAGCUGAGAUCCUCUUCUGAGGCGCAUCAGCCUACCGUUAUCUCUGCAUUGUCAGUUUAGCGGAUAGUGAGCGUACACGCUAGGACCCGAAAGAUGGUGAACUAUGCCUGAACAGGACGAAGCCAGAGGAAACUCUGGUGGAGGUC
rnacentral:rRNA from 1 species